rfam:Lutzomyia longipalpis Contig14033, whole genome shotgun sequence.
CAAACGAUUCUUUUCAGAAUCACACAUCAUUUUCAACUGCAAUUUU